GUGUCUGUGAAUACGGUUAAUUGAGGAAGAAAGUCCACUCAGCAUGUGGGCAGCAUGCUCCCCAAGGGCUUGGCUUCCAGACUGAAUAAAAAGAAAGAAGAAAGUGGAAUACCAGCAUCCAUCUCUGACACAAUGUGGCCAGUCAGUUAUGCCGUGUUCCUGCCUCCAUGUCUAGACACCGUGAUAGACUGUGACCUUCUUAACUGUCAGCCAAAAUAAGUCUUCUCCUCCCUAAGUUGCUUUGUCACCAUGACAAGAAAAAAGAAGGAGGUCAGCUUUCAAGUGCACGAAUACUGCUUUGGAGUUGGAGGAAGUAAGGGAAUACAUUCCCCAGAGCUUGACCACGCUUGAGACUGGAUCUGGCAAACACCCGUUGAACGUGACUUAAGACACCUGGGAAGAAGGGACAUCAACUGAGGAGUUGCUCAGAUCAGAGUGGCCUGUGGCCGUGUGUGGUAAACCGUCUUGACUGAUGAUUGAUGUGGAAGCGCCCAGCACACUACUGUGACAACGUUGUAGGCAGGGUGGCCUGGGCUGACGAAGAAAGCUAGCUAAGGAUGAGCCUGCGAGUCUGUUCUCCACGGUCCCUGGCUCCAAGUUCUCGUCUUGAGUUCCUGUCCUGACUCCCCUCAAAGAUGGACUGUAAAAUGAAAUAAACCCGUUUCUCCCUCAA